rnacentral:snRNA from 1 species
GGAUGUGAGAGCAAUCUGCCUGCGACAUCCGUCACCAUAUUGAUUGCCAGGGUUGAUUCAGCUGAUCUGGUUGGCUAGGCAGGUGUCCCUUCCUCCCUCACCUUUCCAUGUGUGUCCCUCUCAAAGCCACAUGCUCGUUUGAAAAGGACAACCAUAUCAGAUAAAGGAGGACCAGUCUUUGGUCAAGGGUAUAUGAAUAGCUGCAUUCCCCUGCUAGAACUCUAAACAAGCUCUCAUAUCCACCCAUUGUGAUCCUGGUCCUCAAGUAUCAGCAGCAGAUUUCUUUAAGCCUUCUU